rnacentral:lncRNA from 1 species
UUCAUUCAACAUCACAGUUCAUUCACAACAUUCAACACCGUCGGACCUCAGUACCACCUCUCCCCCUCCCAAGGCUACAAUACGACGACCACCACCUGCUAUCACGACUAGCCCACCACCACCAUCAUCCACCAUUUAAUGUUCUAUUGAAGAAUCAUUACCGCCGUCGGACCUCGGUACCACCUUCGUCGGAGCUAAUCGACACCACUGUCAUCGGUACCACCUUCGUCGGAGCUAAUCGGCACCACAGUCGUCGGAGCUAAUUGCUUAAAGAUCUUAUAAUCGGCCAAGGUUAGGUGUAAUUUCCGGUCAAAUCUUGUCACAGAUCUCGUUUAUGGAGUUAGAUGUUUGCUUUAUCGAGUUUUGUGUUUAGAGGUGGGGUGAUUUUGAGAGACGGUGGUGGGAUUCGACGGUGGUGGGUUUUUUAAGGAAGAUGUCAGCGGUGGUAGGUUUUCAGGGAAGAUGUCGGUGGUGGUAGGUUUUUUGGGGAAGAUGUCGGCGGUGGAGGUGGUACAAUGGUGGUUGUGUGUUGAUGGCAGGUUGUGGUGGUUGAUUAGGUGGUGCUGGUUGUAGGUGUUAAUGGUGGCGGCAGGUUGGUGUAGGUGGCUGAUUGUUGGUGUGGCGGUGGCUGUUAGGGUUGAUGGUGAGGUGGUGAGGGUUGGUGGCGGUGGUGGUUGUUGGUGAUGGAGAA